AUUGGUUCUUAGCCUUUUGGCUAUGAUCAAGUGUAGUAUCUGUUCUGAUCAGUUUAAUCAAGUUUGCUAUUUUCUGCAAAUUUUGUGAACUUCAGUAAAUCCAAAAUAUCCCAUGGGUAUUAUAUCUUUUACUGAUGUAUCUCUUAGCCAAAGGAUGUGGGAACUCAUUUUUGGAAUAGGAGUAAAAUA